ensembl:lncRNA
AGAGAAGAACGGCCGGGUCACACCAAAACCCAUUUAACUUGCCUAGGUCAUCUUGCAAUACGUUGUCUUUCAGUCCUGAUGCACUCUCUGAGCUCUUAGCCGGUAUGGUCCUCUAUACUUCAAAGCUUCAGGAAAACGUAGAUGGGCAGGAAGUCACCAGGGACGUUGACUUGUAGCAGGGGAGAAUGUAGCCGGGUGAAGUGGGGGCAGGGAGGUUUUUGGACUGCUAGAUGGUCCGCACAGAGGGUGAGGGCGUACUGCCCCUUUAAGUACAUGGGCAUGAGUUCACGUGGGAUUUGGAGCUGCAGAGCGGGACCUAGUGGCUACUAACACGACACAGUGUUAGCGGUUAGCAUCGGAACAGCGUUAGGGAAAUACCUGUUCAGCGGGUCAGCAGGGGAGUAACAAGCUGCUGUGGGUUGAGGUUGCACGUGCAUGGAGCCGUGCGCGCCGGCGCUUGAGAAGGGGUCACUACUGUUGUUUUUUUUUGUAUGUAACUGUUAGCUUCACGUAAUUUCUAGCUUAAGGUAAUCGUUAGCUCUAUUCCAUUACAUCCUAUUAGUUAGUGAAGCGAAGCAAUUGGUUAUUUGUACACUGUUCCAAGUGCCUCCUUAAUUUGACACAUUAAGGCUGUGCUCCAGGAGUGCAGUCGGGGGAAAUAAAGAACCCACAUUAAAGAAAAAUAAAUUUAUCUUAGUGUCCUGUCA